rnacentral:rRNA from 1 species
UACGGAGGAUGCAAGCGUUAUCCGGAAUUAUUGGGCGUAAAGCGUCCGUAGGUGGUUUAGUAAGUCUGCUGUUAAAGCGCGGGGCUUAACUCCGUAUCGGCAGUGGAAACUACUAGACUAGAGUGUGGUAGGGGUAGAGGGAAUUCCCAGUGUAGCGGUGAAAUGCGUAGAUAUUGGGAGGAACACCGGUGGCGAAGGCGGCAUCCUGGACCGAGAUUGACGCUGAGGCGCGAAAGCCAGGGGAGCAAACGGG